UACGGAGGAUGCGAGCGUUAUCCGGAUUUAUUGGGUUUAAAGGGUGCGUAGGCGGCUUUUUAAGUCAGCGGUGAAAUUUUGCAGCUUAACUGUAACAGUGCCGUUGAUACUGUGGAGCUAGGAUUUGGUUGCUGUGGGUGGAAUGUGUGGUGUAGCGGUGAAAUGCUUAGAGAUCACACAGAAUAUCGAUUGCGAAGGCAGCUCACAAAGCCAAGAUUGACGCUGAGGCACGAAAGUGUGGGGAUCAAACAGGA
rnacentral:rRNA from 1 species